AGUUUGAUCAUGGCUCAGGACGAACGCUGGCGGCGUGCUUAACACAUGCAAGUCGAACGGUAAGGCCCUUCGGGGUACACGAGUGGCGAACGGGUGAGUAACACGUGGGUAAUCUGCCCUGCACAUCGGGAUAAGCCUGGGAAACUGGGUCUAAUACCGAAUAGGACCACAGGACACAUGUCCUGUGGUGGAAAGCUUUUGUGGUGUGGGAUGGGCCCGCGGCCUAUCAGCUUGUUGGUGGGGUGAUGGCCUACCAAGGCGACGACGGGUAGCCGGCCUGAGAGGGUGUCCGGCCACACUGGGACUGAGAUACGGCCCAGACUCCUACGGGAGGCAGCAGUGGGGAAUAUUGCACAAUGGGCGAAAGCCUGAUGCAGCGACGCCGCGUGGGGGAUGACGGCCUUCGGGUUGUAAACCUCUUUCACCAUCGACGAAGGUCCGGGUUUUCUCGGGCUGACGGUAGGUGGAGAAGAAGCACCGGCCAACUACGUGCCAGCAGCCGCGGUAAUACGUAGGGUGCGAGCGUUGUCCGGAAUUACUGGGCGUAAAGAGCUCGUAGGUGGUUUGUCGCGUUGUUCGUGAAAUCUCACGGCUUAACUGUGAGCGUGCGGGCGAUACGGGCAGACUUGAGUACUGCAGGGGAGACUGGAAUUCCUGGUGUAGCGGUGGAAUGCGCAGAUAUCAGGAGGAACACCGGUGGCGAAGGCGGGUCUCUGGGCAGUAACUGACGCUGAGGAGCGAAAGCGUGGGGAGCGAACAGGAUUAGAUACCCUGGUAGUCC
rnacentral:rRNA from 1 species